AGAAGGGAGGGGGUUAUUCAGUGGUUGCUUACCGUUCAUCGUUCUGAUAGCAAGGGGCCCCUUUCACCCAACUACCCGUCGCACUAAGGUGCAAAGACGGCAGUCGGGGCCAGGUUCACUUGGAAGGCAAUAACCUUACCUAGUGCCUAUCACUUUAUUUUGCUUAACUCCAAGGAAACUUUCUCAAGUUAGCACGUCUUCACGGCCUUUCUAUCGAUAUCGGACAGCGGUCACUAGCACGGUUUUCUUGAAGAUCACAUGGACAACUUAUUGGAAUGUUUUCUUUUUUUUUUAAAAGUAAUUUUGAAGCAGAAAGGCAAGUUACUUCGAAAACAAAAGGGACGGAACCGUUUUCUUGGAUUACUAUUUUCAGAAUUUUUCAUCUGAGAAAAAACAUUCUAUAAUGUAUUAAUAAAUGUGUGUUUUUUAAACUGUC